rnacentral:lncRNA from 1 species
AAUUUAUGUAGAUUUUAAUAUGAAAUCAGGCAGGGCAAGGCAAGAGACUGCAACACGUGGUCUAUUCCCAGUAUGUGCAGUCUGUGGAUCGGUGCAGUCGGUGUUGUGCUGGAAAAGUUUGGACUCUAAUUCCGCCAAGCCCUUCUAAAUUGUACCUAGGAAUGAAAUCGAACACAGACUAAUACACGGCAAAACAGACGACUAGAGCGUCUAGUCUAGAGCAUAGGUAAAGCUCCGAGCAAGGCUUUACUCACCGUAGGAGCGAGAAGCCCCUCAGUCAGCCGUUCCCGAAAGACCCCAUCGNACCGCCUCUCCGUCCGUCCCCGCCGCUUUCACCCUUAAUUUCUCAGCGACAACUUAACCCUACGACGGCUUUAGAUGACGUAGGCACCAGAGUCGACGUUUUUGGAAAAAAAGAGAAGAAAGAACGAAACAACUAACCGGAGUGUUUUUAUUAUUAUUUUAAAUUAAACCACCGCCCAUUUCCUGGUUUCCUUUGAACGUAGCACGCGGGCGACGCUCCACUCCGGGCUCUCUAUCGUGCGCCAUCUCCCUGCGACUCUCUCUCUCGUGUCUCUCCUUUUCUUUUCCUCUCGUCGUCGUCGUCGGCCGGAACGGAGAACGGACGGACGGCAAGAGGGCCCCCAGUCUGGGACAAACACUUCCGGUAACGUCAGUGAGCGCUCCGGAAAUGGUCUUGUUAGGAAACCGGUCCGCCAUCAUGUGGUUGCUUUGAUUGGGAAGCGGGAACUAGUUAGCUGAAAUUCAAAAAAUUGUUCAAAGAAGAAAAAAAAUUAUUGAAGCAAAAACAAAAGUAAGUAAUAUUUUAGGAUACUGUUUUUGGACUAAAAGUAAUUGUGACCAUUAACUUUAAUGAUAAUGGUAUUUAAUUUACAUAGAUACAAGUAUUGAUACCUUUAAAAAAAAAGUGAGAAUUUAUUUCAAACCUUAUUCAUCACUGGUCAUUUUUAUGUCCUCUAACUGAUUAGGGAUAUCUGUAGGUUAAUGCCAAG